rnacentral:tRNA from 2 species
UGUGUCCGUAGCUCAGCUGGAUAGAGCAACGGCCUUCUAAGCCGUGGGUCGGGGGUUCGAAUCCCUUCGGGCACAU